GAAACAUUCACGUACGUCGAGUGUGACACAGGUCGCCUAGGUGUGAUAAGUUGCAACUUCUCGGAAAUGAAAGAUAUAUUACUUUGUUUCCUAUUGUUAAAUGUCUGGAUGAUUAUCAAGUGACUGCUUGGUGGCAGCAAUACAAUGAUACAGAAAUACUGAGCUUUUUCACAGUGAUUAAAAUGAGCUUGUAUCAUUUCAAGUAUAUUGAUAAAAGACAAAUAGUCGCGAAUGUCGUGAAUAAUGUUGGGAAGCUCCAUACUAUUAAAGUUAUGACUUUACUCGCCAGAAUGGCAUCGUCAGACUUUACCACUGAAAGUUUUACUACUAGCACAUUAUCUCACAAUACAGCUACUAGAGAAAAUCUAGUUGAAAAUAAUAGCUGCAAAGUGUAUCAAGCUCUAUUAGAGACAAACAUGGCAACAAAAGUUGGCCUAAUCGCAUUGGAUUGCUUGGAUUUCUUCUAUAUUCAUUUUAAAAUAAUAAUUAUUAAGCGAAUUUUAUGUUUUCUUGAUUUUAUGUGUAAAUGAUUUCCUAAAACACGUUUAUUAAUGCUCCCGUUUAAAGCAACUACUAAUAUGUCGCAAAAAUUGAUUGUCAAAGAUUGAAAGACUGAUUGACCAUUUUUAGCUAUGCCUCUUUUAAUAAAGUGAUGAAGAGUACAGGUUUUUCAAUUAAAGUGAAAGAUUUUAAUAAAAGAAUACAAACAGUUUUAAUGGCAAUUGCGCAAAUGCGGGAACAUGACCUUGAGAUGCUAGUCGACAACAUAGUUUGGCUAAUUCUUAUGCCAGCAUACCCGAAUUGAGACAUACAUCGUUGGAGAUGAUGGCUAGGAAUCAUAUCAAAGAUGGCAAUUUCUCAGAGGUGCAUAUUUUUAUUAUGUUGACAUAAAAAUAUAUUUUUAUGUAUUUUAAAUAUUUAUUCAAUGUUAUUCUUUCAAUGAGAUUCUUAACGCAUAUUUUAAUAACAUAUACUUUUAAUUUUUAAGACUGCUUAUUAUCAAUGCAUAUAGCAGCGCUAAUGGCUGAAUAUUUGAAAUUGCGGAAAGUUCAUCCGUGGAGCGCAGAGGUUUUUGAUUAAAUUUUCAUGAACAUAUUAAAAGACGAACGGAAUCUCAAACUUAAUGUUGGUGAGAUUGUAUGUUUUUACUGUAUUACAUGUUUAUCCUUUAUUUUUAGAUGCAAGAUAUUCAAUAUAACGAAAGUUUUUUACUCAAACAAUUAGAAGUUUGUGUCGAUACGUUGGAGAAAACCGAGCAUUUCGAAUGGCAAUUGCUUGGCACUUAUAUUGUUUAAUAGUUCUCAUGUACGAAAAGAAGAAAAAUUACAAAGCUUUAGCUUACUCGCAUUUGACGCAAGCCUAUAAUAAAAUUAUAGAAAUGAUACGGACUGGAAAGAGAUUGUUCGGGAGGCUUUACAGAGUAGCAUUCUUUGGCAUGGCAUACUUUGAAGAGGAGAAUGGCCAAGAAUACAUCUAUAAAGAAUCCAAAA